rnacentral:tRNA from 1 species
GUGAAGGUAGGCUAAUGCAAGCUUUAGGGCUCAUACUCCUAAGAUCAUUGCUUCACU